UACGUAGGUGGCAAGCGUUGUCCGGAUUUAUUGGGCGUAAAGAGCGUGUAGGCGGCCAAACAGGUCAGCUGUGAAAACUCGAGGCUCAACCUCGAGACGUCGGUUGAAACCGUUUGGCUAGAGUCCGGAAGAGGAGAGUGGAAUUCCCGGUGUAGCGGUGAAAUGCGCAGAUAUCGGGAAGAACACCCGUGGCGAAGGCGGCUCUCUGGGACGGUACUGACGCUGAGACGCGAAAGCGUGGGGAGCGAACAGG
rnacentral:rRNA from 1 species